UUUAAAAAAAAAAAGCAGGUAGACGACGGAUUAGCAGCAAUAGCUACCGGCUUCUCUGAAGAUAAAAUGCUGACUGUUCACCGACGUCAUGCGGAAGCCGCUUUUUGUGUGGAGGCUGUCUCAAACGUCAUCAACACACCCUGCCGACGUAACGCUGAAAAAAAGCUCAUGAACAUUUCGCAAUCAGCUGCCAUUAGAAAAAACAUGCCAGGUAUCCUGUCCCGGGGUUUUUUAUCUCUCAAGCAAAGAUUACUUACCGCUUAGGAUUAAUCUUUAUGUUCUGUAUGUAGAUAAUUGGUUUCUCACACUUGAUCUACUUUUUGACCUUGGGUCAGUCACAUUUCUUCUGUCACAUUUCUAUCAGAUGGACUGGCUACAGAGGAAACAAUGGAAGCUCAUUCUUGCCAGAAAUGGUCUCUCAUAGAAAAGAGACCACCACCACAGCAGAACAAGACUGAGUGGAUCGCAAAUUCACAGUGAAACUAUAUCGAUUCUCUCAGGGAGACUCAGUUUUCUUACCCUCUCCCAUAGUUGUGCACAAACUCAGAAUUAGCUACACUGAGCCAGUAGGGAUUUGAUGUUUUUACUCAAUGAUACCACGGAAGGAGGAACAAUGGCUGUUGACGUAAGACUCAAAGCUUUCAGUCAACAGCCAACUACAGCCUGUCACCCUGAUGCCCAAAUGUUGUAGGACAGAGCGAGGAGUUGAAUUUUGAAAGUAUUUGACAUGCAUACAUAAUUAAACCACUUGUAUUUGCUGAGUUUAACCACAUGGAUUUAGAGUCUGAUUAAGAUAUCUCAACACGUAGUGACCACUUACAUGAACUUUUCACAGAUAUUAAUGGUCCCCUGAGGACUCAAAAUGAUUUUAGUGACUACCUGACCUUUCAGAAACUGGUGGAAAAAUUCCAUAAAACUUGCAGUUGAUAAUCAUGGGCUUCAGAGGAUGAAUUCUAAUGUUUAUGGCGAUCACCUGACCUUUCCUGUAGCACCACCAUUAUCACAAAAUGUCAGCUUAUUUCCCCCUCUUUCAAAGUGAGUUUUCGCAGACUUUUCAGACUCUGUGUUGAGAGGGGACUGUAAGAUCUUAUUGUGAUGCAGCCUGCAUAACCUUAUUUUGGUUUUUCCAGUAUAUUUUACAAUGGAGUACAAAGUGUGGGCUGUAACAGUUUCAUCAGAAGUUCUGUCGAUUGUGUGUGUUUUUGAGAAUACGACACCCAUAUUAUUGUUCAUGUCGAUUUGGCAAUGUGAGUCACUUCCUCCAUCUGCCAGUAAAUGACUACUAGGCGAGACCAGCUGGUGACGCCUCCUGUGUGGCUCGGGUUACACUGUGACGCCCCUUAUGCAAGAUAAGCUGUCAUGAUAAUGAACAUGAUUCAGAUAAGACAUAUCAAACCAGUUUGGCUUUGUUUGUUUACAGAAUAUAUGACCUUUUAUAAUGCUGGUAAAUAACUGUAGUGCAAAGGCAACAUUAAAUCUACACAGUGGAUGAUAACAAACUUGAACUGUCAGCCAGUGAAUUUCCACUGACUUGUUGUGACAUGGUUAAACGUGCUUUGUCAGUGUGUCCGGUACUCGUAUGCCGACAUUGUGUGUGGUGGUCAAAUGUCCGUUUGCUUCGUACAAACUGGACUGGUGUUGGUGUUGUGACCCUUUAAAAUGAAGCAGUGUCUUCCCCUUCUCAUAGGUUGCAUAUGUCUAUGAAUUCUGCAGCCAAAGAUUGAUGUUCCCUUAUCAGAUUGUUUCAUUUGAACAUUUUCAUAGACCUGAAGACUGCUCAAAUUAAGCAGUAUUUCAUAAGAAAAAAUAAAAUCAGAAAAAUAAGCAUUUACACAUAAUGUAAUAGACAUUGAUGUGUUGACAUGUUAAUUUGCCUUUUAAGAACUGAGAAUUAGAUGAGAAUAACAACACAACUCUAAAGUCUGUUACAAGAAAUACUCUGAGAAUGUGUUGUUUAUUCACUUAUAUCUAAUCACUGUGUGAGGUGAAAUCACUUCUUCUAGGUAUUCUUGUUGACACAGAGUGACAGAGAUGUUUGUUUCAUCAUGUUUAUUCUAUCAUUUCUGUUGUUAGCCUAGGGAGUGUUAGACCCUUUUUCUAUGCCUGCACUCAUUUGCUGCUUCACUCCUAAGGGGCAUCAAUCAUUCAUCAAAAGCAAAAUGAAGCCGGUUGUCUGACAGUAAACAGUCCACUUCAAGUUAAUUAAGCCCAGUGUGCCAAUAAAGUCAGCAAAGGCUAUCUUUGCACUCGAGGAAAAACAGUACAGUUCCAGUCAGAGCUUGUGUGAACAGUAUUUCAUCUUUGUUUCGCUUUGAUGUGGGCUUCACUGAUCUCAUGAUGUUGUUUUAACCUUGUUUCCAACUUUAGUAUUAAGUUUUAUGUAGAAUCGUCACAGUAGGAUCCUAAUGUGUUCUUUUGUAAACUGAUAACAUCUAUAUGUUAAAAAAAAAAUAAAACAAAACAAAACAAACAAAAAAGACCCUUACAUUUAUUCACUGGGCUAAAAAGUGUAACUUUUUAAUGGCCCGCCAUUAAUAUUGUAUUGGAACAUUGACCAUUGCUGUUUCUAAAGGCUAGAAUGACAAAUAUGGGCAGACAGACUUUGCCAUUUAAAAGUCACUCAAAUAUAAAUCUUAUUCAAUAUUUAACAUUUAACACUUUAAUUUUUUACGUUAAUGCAGGGUGGUUUGUCCUCUGCAUCUGACAUGUCCGCAGGGGGGAUCCACAUUGCAGUGCCUGGAGACCAGCUUCUUUAAUCAAGAGAAAAAACAGGACUACUCUUAAAUUAUAUCAUGUAUGUCUUUGGAGAUGGAGGAAAUGAGGGGACUGUGUGAACAUCAAGAAAACAUGCACGUGAACUCCAGAAAGGCCUAAGUUAAUCAUAAUGGAUUUUAAACCCGCAGAUUCUCGUCAUAGGUUACAGAGCGACUGUCUAUUCAGUGAUAAUGUGUCCUCAGAAUUCUGACUGACCUUGGAAACAAAAUCUGAUAAUCUCAAUUUUUCAAUCAACUUCAAGAGAGCCUUAAAGUGAAAAAAACUGGAAAUGUGAACAUCUAUAGUGUAUUUCCAGUGAACAACUACCUCUGCUGAGUUUGAUUUCGUGAUAUGAUCAGAAGCUCCAGAACAGCGACAGAGGCGACCCUGCAGGGACUUUGGUUUUUGUCAGCUACUGUUCUGAAGUCAUGAAUGAUCUUUCAGUCUCAGUUUAACAUCAAAUUUCGAUGUGAAUUUUUGCAAUCAACAUAUUCUAACACAUGAAUGAAAAAUUAAAACCCCAUUCAUUUUUUAAAAUGAAUAAAUAAUCAGUACCACUGUUUUGACACCUCAAAGAGUAUGAAUGUGAAUGAGGAUUUCCUUAACUAAAACAUCAUUCAAUGAAGCCUGAAUUCAUGAAGUGCACUCAAAUGAUUUUUCAGAUGCGAUAUGUGAGGAGACCUGGUGAGAGGUAUAUUGUAAUAAUUUAAGUUUAAAUGAACACUGUAGGCUGCCAAAUUAGAAAAUAAGAAAUUAUGGAAAACCUCAGAGUUAGGAUGGUUCAGUAAAGGAUGCAGAUAAGGGAGUAGACCAAGACCGAAGGAAAACAAUGGCAAAAAAUUCAGAAUUACUAGUUUCUUGCCCAAAGCACAACAGUAAGCUAACCAAGUGAAAAAUCAGUGGCCUUUGUAAGGAAAAGGGUGAGGAUACAUUUGGAGUUUCCUAAAAGGCGAUAGACUCUGAUGAAAUGAAAAUGAUCUCCCUGCGCAGUGAGACAAAAGGCUCUGUCAAAUGGGACUUAGACACAGUAUCCAUCUCCGACAGGCUUUACUUUCAAGUAUCAUGGCUGACCACUUUAUAUAUAGACAAAGAAAAUGAUGAAUCGAGCUGAAUGCAGAUACAUUUCUCAGUAGAAGCUCCCUCAUAGUGAAAAGAUAUUAAACCAGGCUGAUGGUAUGUAACAAUGGCACUGAGCAUUCAGCUAGAUAUGAGCAUGCACCCAAAACCCACUCUCCAGUAACAUGAAAUACAGAGAAAGUUAAGUGAGUGAAACAAUUUUGUAAUCAGUUUAUACGCUGUAACAUAUCCUGUGAAUUGUUCAGUGAAAGCUACUAAAUGAUCCAGUUUUCACAAAGUAAAGCAAAGAGAAUAUAUCCAUCUUAUUACUUCGAGACAAUUUAAUUUUGGGAACUCAAAUAUAAUUACAAGAACUAAAUUAGGAUUUUAAUUUUAACCAUCACAGAAGAAUAGAAACCAUUGAGGGAGCCUUACUGAAUUUAUUGUGUAACGUAUCAAAGUUAAUUAAAGUUGGUCUUCAGAAAAAAGCUUAACACUACUGUAUAUUUCCAUUUUUCAGCCCAAAGCAGAGCAAAUGAUUAGCCAUGUAUAAAAUAAUGAAUGAGCUGAAUACUAAAACUUAAAACUAAUUCGAGUUGUGUUUUUUGAUGCUUAGUACAUUUUAGAGCCAGUAGGUGGUGCUAUAGAGCUUCCUGUUACUUUUGGAACUCUUCAAACACAGAGUAUCUCUUGUUAGAUCAUUCAACAAACAUUUUGAUAUUUGAUAUACAGCAAAGAUGUAAUUAUUACCAUUAAAGAUA